UAAGUCAGGGGUGAAAUCCCACAGCUCAACUGUGGAACUGCCUUUGAUACUGUCAGUCUAGAGUAUAGUUGAAGUUGGCGGAAUGUGUCAUGUAGCGGUGAAAUGCUUAGAUAUGACACAGAACACCGAUCGCGAAGGCAGCUAGCUAAGCUAUAACUGACGCUCAUGCACGAAAGCGUGGGGAUCAAACAGGAUUAGAUACCCUGGUAGUCCACGCUGUAAACGAUGAUUACUCGAUGUUGGCGAUACACAGUCAGCGUCUGAGCGAAAGCAAUAAGUAAUCCACCUGGGGAGUACGAUCGCAAGAUUGAAACUCAAAGGAAUUGACGGGGGCCCGCACAAGCGGAGGAGCAUGUGGUUUAAUUCGAUGAUACGCGAGGAACCUUACCUGGGCUCGAACGUAAGAUGACUGUAGGUGAAAGCUUACAUCUCUUCGGAGCAUUUUACGAGGUGCUGCAUGGUUGUCGUCAGCUCGUGCCGUGAGGUGUCGGGUUAAGUCCCAUAACGAGCGCAACCCCUACCUUUAGUUGCCAUCAGGUCAUGCUGGGGACUCUAAAGGAACUGCCUACGCAAGUAGUGAGGAAGGCGGGGAUGACGUCAAAUCAGCACGGCCCUUACGUCCAGGGCUACACACGUGCUACAAUGGCCGAUACAGAGGGCAGCUACCUGGUGACAGGAUGCAAAUCUCCAAAGUCGGUCUCAGUUCGGAUCGGAGUCUGCAACCCGACUCCGUGAAGUUGGGUUCGCUAGUAAUCGCGCAUCAGCCAUGGCGCGGUGAAUACGUUCCCGGGCCUUGUACACACCGCCCGUCAAGCCAUGGAAGCUGGGGGGACCUAAAGUCGAUAACCGCAAGGAGUCGCCUAGGGUAAAACCAGUGACUGGGGCUAAGUCGUAACAAGGUAGCCG
rnacentral:rRNA from 1 species